GACGAACGCUGGCGGCGUGCUUAACACAUGCAAGUCGAACGGUGAAGCGCCUUCCUUUUUGGUGGGUGUGGAUGAGUGGCGAACGGGUGAGUAACACGUUAGUAACCUGCCCCCUUCUUCUGGAUAACCGCAUGAAAGUGUGGCUAAUACGGGAUAUUCUGGGUCUGUCGCAUGAUGGGUCUGGGAAAGAUAUUGUUUCGGUGGGGGAUGGGCUCGCGGCCUAUCAGCUUGUUGGUGGGGUGAUGGCCUACCAAGGCGGUGACGGGUAGCCGGCCUGGGAGGGUGGACGGCCACACUGGGACUGCGACACGGCCCAGACUCCUACGGGAGGCAGCAGUGGGGAUUAUUGCACAAUGGGCGCAAGCCUGAUGCAGCGACGCCGCGUGAGGGAUGGAGGCCUUCGGGUUGUGAACCUCUUUCGCCAGUGAAGCAGGCCUGCCUCGUUUGUGGGUGGGUUGACGGUAGCUGGAUAAGAAGCGCCGGCUAACUACGUG
rnacentral:rRNA from 1 species